UGGGUUAAAUGACCUGCUUAAGGUCAAGAAAUUUGAAAACAUUUCAGGCCAAUUUUAGAGUCUUAUCUUCCCAAUACAGCUCCAGGAUUCUUUCCGCUAGUUCAUUUCAGCAUCUCUAUUCUGGGACUACUAUCAGUAGUGCCUGAACUUGUCUUCGGGAAUUCCUAUCACUCACUCAAAGGCUUCAUAAGGUGCUUUUGACUCUGAAAAACAAGAGAAAUUUUAUAGCCUUGCAGUGAUGACAACUACAAAUGCUAGCAGCCUAUUAAAAUAAGCUGUACAGCUUUGGGGAAGACAUGUAUAUCCUCACUUUCAGUUCUCAAAAGCACAGCAAAAAUACUAUCAGGUGUUCUACCAUAGCAAACUUGAGAGGAAUACUAGCAACAGGCAGUUCUCUUCUGGAACAGAUGAAUGAAAUAAAAAUAUUCAGAAAAUAACUCCUGGAUUUCAAUGAGAGAAAACUUUACCAGUUCACAGCAGGAAAUACAUUUUGCCUCACCAUCCAUGAAGACUCUUCACCUGAAUGAGAUCCUGUUACUAGAUCACAGCCAAUUGUUGACCACACCCUGGUUGCAUUUGAUGACCAAGGAGGGUACCUUCCUGGCAACCACAGAGACAGCUCAUCAGGAUGAUAGUGAUCUUAUGCCCACUGGAGCUAAAGAUGAGUCUUUUCCCAGUUUCAUCAAAUGAGAACAGAUCUGUGAGGCUAAAUGGAGCUAGAAGCUAUAGCUGCUGUCCUGUACUGAUGACAUUAGACUCCUUCCCAGGGAAUUGGCUGCCUCUGCAUCUAUUUAGGAAUCCUCUUUGUGGGAGUAUGUGGAAAAUCUUUGUGAAAGAAAAUGGCUCUUAGUAGAACAUAGUAUUCUCUUAGCACUAGAAUGUUGGUCUUGAAUAUACAGGACAACACUGAGGUUUAUGCAGCAUGGUAAAUGCUGGGUCUGGAUGGAGCUACAAUAAAACUAUUUCCUUCAGCAUCUUAAUGGUUGCCAGACUAACAAUAGAUGAGGGAGAAGGUAACUGCUAAGGACAGUUCUAUUUUUCUCCCUUGGUAAUGGAUCCUUGAAAGCUCAAACAUAUAUAGGUGGGCACACAGCUGUGAAUCUGAGCCCAAAAUGAAUUAUUUUUUAUUUUUAAAUUGAAUUAUAAAUCUAAAAUAUUUAUUUGUAAACAUAAGCAUUCCAUCUUCUACCUCCAUUCUUUCCUCCAUUAUUAUUAUUAUUUUUAGAGAAAGUACUUCAUCUCUUCAUUUAUGGUAUGACAUCCAAGUCAAAGUUAAGGGACACUGAGUGAAAGGACUGUGGUCAAAAUCAAAUACAGUCAAGGAAGAGGAGAUGCAAGACACGUAAAAUAUGGUACAGUUAGUCUUUUUCAGCAACUUUAUAUCAAAUUAUUGACAGGUGCUCUCUUUAAUAGCAGGUCUUAAAGAGAUGUAAAACUGGCUUGUGGGCCAUCUAAAGAUAAAUAGCAUUUAUGUCCACAGCACUCUGUUGUCAUUUCCAUUGUACCACUUGGGUAAUAUGGUGCCAUGUGUUUGGUUGCAUGUCUUCCCAAGUAGGACACUGGAACAAGUGGUCUUUGACCUAUUCCUUGAAGUUUUCCCAGAGCACACAGAAAGCCUGACACAUAAGAAUCACCUAGGAUGUGCUUGCUAAAUGUUUGUCUGGAAAUUGGGUCAUAAUAUAAUUAUUAAACUCUAGAGUCAAGAUGGCAUGAUUCAAGACCACGAGAUGAUGAGGCCUGGAGCUCAUCUCCAAAGAUGGUCUUGCCUCAGAUGAGAACUAUUUUCUUUAUGAUUGGGUAGGGGACAUGGAACAAAAUUACACUCCCUUUUCAAUGUAAAGAAUAGAAGCAAAAUAUUAAAAAGUAAGCACCAUCAUUUUUACAGAGUAGAGAAAAGACAUAUCAGAGAGUAGAAAAGUUCAUUUCUUGAAGGUUUAGUGUGGGAAAAGAUAAGUUGAGGUAGAUAAAGAAAGGAAAAGUCAUUCUAGGAAACUUAAGCAAGAUUGCUAGGUGAGAGGAAAAUUUGUAGUUUACAAGUGUGUGCCUAUCAGCUGCAGAGGGCAGAAACAUCCAUGUCAAGACAUCCAGGAAUCUUCAAAAGAUACUGAUUUUUUAUUUCAAUCCUAAAAUUCUGUUUUAAUAGAUAUCAUAAAGGGCCCACAAACUUUAUCAGGCCAUAUGGUCAAAAGGCAAAAUAGUAAAUUCUGUUGUUACCCUUGAUCUGUGCACUUAUGGUCUCAAAUGAUUAUGGACACUAAAAAUAUCUGGGACUUAAAGGGACCAAAGCAAAUAAAAAAAACCCAAUUAGUAACAUGAACUAUACCUCCAGUCAAAUUUAUAUAAGAAUAAAUACAGGCUCAAGAUAAAUGUAGGAUUUUUUUAAAAUUAUUUUUUAAAAAGAAAGUUUACCAGGUAGGCUUUUUAUACAACUCAUUUUAAGCAUUUUAAGUAUAAAUCAUUUAAAUAACAUGGAACUGGCAAUUGGCCAAAGUAAACUCAAAAAAUGUUAUGUUGGUGAAGACCAAAUUGAUAGAUCUGUAAAGUAUAUUUUUAUGAUGCAAAAGCAAUUUAAUAUGUACUUGUUAAUUGUUUUCUUGUCGCUGAGAUGCAAUACCUGACAUCUACAAAUCAAAGAAAGAAACAGUUAUUUUGGUUCACAGUUCAUGAAAGUUUCAGUGCAUAGUUGGCUGGUUCCAAGGCAGGGCAACAUGGCAGAGAAGAAACCUCUAAUGGCAUGGCAGUGAGAAGCCAAGAGGGCUCAAGGUAGGAGGAGGGAGGUAGACCCUUCUAGGCUACACUCUUAGUCACCUGACUAUUCCAAACAGGCUUCACCUUCCAACACCACAUUUAGCUAUAAAAUCAUCAAUGGAUUAAUCCACUGAUCCAAUCACCACCCAAAAGCACCACAGAUGAGCACCUGAGGCUUUGGGGGACAUCUAGAUAUAAACUACAACAUGUACUCUUCUCUUAGAUCUUUUACAAACCCAGGGAACAUACUUAAAUUCAAUCUGUUCAUGUGCUAAUCAAAUAAAAAUCACGAUUGGCCAUCAUUGUAGAAAUCCAAUUUACGUUUUACAUCUGACUAAUGUGACAAAAACACUUUUGUUAUUUCUGGAUAAAUUAAGAAGACAUGGGUCUUUCACUACAUUAAAAGUUCUAUUUGCCUCACUAAUAAAUUCUUAGGUUAAUCUCUGAGGAAAAAAACUUUGCAAUUGAAAUAAGAUAAUGUGUGUAGUUAAUAUGUUUAAAUUGAUCUGAUAUGUAUUAGACAAAUCAUGGAAGAGAAGAGAAAUUGAGAAAGCUAUAGCAGAUCAGGUCAGUUUUGACACUGGAAGUGGAAGUCGUAGAUGAUUAAGUGAUAAAUACAGUGAUUGGAAGAUAGUAAACAAAAUAUAACACCAAGGGUUUUCUACUCUGGCUGUCUCAGACACCAUGGUAAGACAAUAAAUACAGAGAGUAAAUCAUUGCAAUGAAAGUGAUGGAGAAUUUGGUGGUCUAAAGUAACACUAUGGAUGAAAGUUUAAAAGAAAUGUGUAUUAGGUUUUUCACUCUUGCUUUCCAUUUUUUCUAGAAAGAAACACUAUAAACAAAAAUGGACGCCAGAGAAUGUUUUAAUUUGAAGUAAAUGAAAAUACUGAUUGCAUUUCUUAGACAUAGUUUUGCUUUUCCUCAAAUAGGAGCUCUGUGUUUAAACAGGACUGUGUCCUUGAAAAGCACUGCAGGUGGCCACUGAAUUGUAAUGGCUCCUCCUUUCUCUUAACCCUCUGGGGCUUUGAAAAGCUUCUCCAGGUUUAGUGUUAAAAGGAAACCGUGAUUGCAUUUUUUUUUAUGGUUGUAGAUAAUCUUAUAUUCAGAAAUCUAAUGAAGUAUCAUCUUUGAAAAAUACACAGGGAAAGAAAUUAUGUUUACUAUGGUAUACAAAUCAUUCAAAGGCUUAUAUAAGACGGAGAGGCUUAAAGUAGAUGACUACAGAUUCUGUACUCUGGUUCUGAAUGAGAGCUGUUAGAUACAAGCAUAAAAUGGUGUCAGGAGAAGUUAUAUCCUUGUACUUUAAAAUGCAAGACCUUGAACCACUUCAAAUUUCUCUUCCAUUUGCCUUAGUAUCUAUUUAGUUCAAUUCUUUAAACCAUUUUGGCAUUUUAUCUUUUCCAAAUUAAGAAAGAUUCCCUCAUAUUUUAAAUGAGUUUGAACUAACAUGAAACUAUAAUAAAUCUUCAUCUAGAUUUUUCUAAUGUAAAAAUAUCUUAAUUUGCUAAUUUUUUGUGGUUUUACUUUCUUGCUUUUAAAAUGUUUUAUUUGCUUCAUUCUGUCAUGCUGCCUUGUAUUACCUUCCUUUUAAUGAUGCAGUUUUAAAGUUUCACUCUGGUUCAGACAAUCUUAUCUUCCCUGAAAGGAAUCCAGACUAUAACUAGUUUAUCAGUUACCAAUAUAUUUACCAUUUAUCAGUACAGACCAGUGGGAGACUAAAUGCCAAAAUCAGUUCUCUGUUUUCUCAUGAGAAGUUAUGCCAUGACUUGCUACUAUGCAAUCAGAAUGAUAAAAGAAUUCUAAUAUAAUAUUCUGGACUAAUCUUCGAUCAGUUGCAAGCAGUUAGCAUUUUGGUAGGCUUAAGUAAUCUUUAAGGCACAUAAUACAACAAUAAUUCAUUAGUUGCUUUGACUGCAUCAUUCCCUUCUGUGCUGCUAGAUAGGUGCACGGAGCAUCUUUAUAUUUGGGUAUAAAGAAUGUUAACAUGUGGGGCUGGGGAUUUAGCUCAGUGGUUCCACUGCCUGCCCCGCAAGCGCAAGGACCUGAGUUUGAUCCCCCCCCCAAAAGAAUAUAACGUGUGUUCCUACCAUUUUGUUAUGAAUUUUGCCACUAAAACAAUAUAGUCAAUAGAAACUUAAGAGUACACCAUGAAUUUUUUCAUCAUCGUAAUUAAGUUCAGUAAUAAUUUUCUGCUCAAAAUUUCAAAAAAUGAGAUAAACAUUAGAUUUAAGUUUCAAAUAUAUCCUUUAACUCCAUUCAUUUAAUCAAAUUGUUAAUAAUUAACUGGCUUAGGUUCUAAAAGAAAAAUUGUAGAAUGAUAAAAUUGAUUUUACCCCUGAUUAAUUUGGGUCUUCUCCUGUUUUAGUGUCCAGAAAAUCAAAUGCUUUAAAGUUAUUGUAUAUUUCACCAAUAUUCUUCUUCAAAAUGGAAACAAUUAUGCUAUUUAGCAUAUGGAAGGUUUUUAACUUUUUAACAAUGGAAUGUAGCUUCAGAAAUGACAUUUUGAAAGAAUAAUUCUUGUUCCUUAUUUCUCUGAUAGAUAAUAUUAUAUAUUUUAAACAUUUCCCAAACAUAUAGCAUAUGUUAACAUUUGUUUUUAUAUUCUCUUUUCUAACAAUAUAUUUUCUCUAAAUAAUUAUGCUUUGUUCUUUUGGUAUGUUCUAUUUGACAUAAAUAUUUUAUUUGUCCUUGUUAUGUGAUCAUCAUAUUUGCCACUAGCAUUUUUAAUUCAUUUCAUAAGAAAGCUUUCCUGGGUGCCUAUCCUGAGUGUUAAUCCAGCAAGGAAAUCAGAGAUCCACUAUAGCCAACUCUUUGGGAAUUUAUAGUUACUUAGAAAAAGGUGUACCAGUGUAUCACGUCAUAUUUGAACAAUAUUAAAGUAAUUAGAAAUGAUAUUUAAGUCUUUUACUGUACUAGAUUUUCAUCUUCAGAGGCUUCUACCAAAUCUAGUUAUUGCAUGAAGAAACAAUUCAUAUUAAAAUUGAAUAUGUAAAAGUAAACUGAUAAAAUGAAGAUCCAGUGUAAAUAGUUUAAAAGUACAGAAAAAUGCAUUAGAAGAAAUAAUUUUCAUUUGAUUCUAUAACAAUUUUUUUUCUAGUUUAAAUUUUGUUUUUACAAAGACCUCUUGUGUUUGUUGUUGCUAGACACUCAAUUUGUUCUGUACUGGCAUUCAUUCAAGUGUGAAUAGCAAAUGUCACAGUCCUACAAUAGAAUACAAUUUAUAACUGAUAGUUUGAGAACAACCAAUUAAUAAUGUGUUUUAUUAAUAGAAUAAAGAUAUUUUAUGCUCAGAGAAUAUUUACAGGCCUAAAUUAUGUCUCAUAUAAUAUAUUAAAGUGGCCUUGUAUGAACCAACAGUUCAUUUGAGAAGAGAAAGCAAAUGUCAAUAAUAAUAGUAAAGUGGCCCAGUGUUUAGAGAAAGAGCAGAAAAGUUCUAUGUCUGGCUGAAAUGGUCAGGGAAAUGGUGAACAUGAAUUUGCAUUUGUAAGAAAAAAUGGGCUGGAGAACAGAUUAAGCUGACAUGAUAUAGGAAUGAUGGUAUGAAAAAAUGCCGUGUAAUAGGAAUGUAGAAGACAGGAUUGGAAGGCUGCGUGGAUUAGUAUCCACGGAGCAGCAGGUGUAAGUACAUGUACACCUCCACUCCAUCUGGCAGCCUCAAUCUUCUGUAAAGGUAGAGAGAGCUAACUAGUCCCUAAAGCGAGGUAUGGAAAAACUUUGCCAAGAGACGUCUGAAUCCCAGCUCUAAUUAUGGCCAAUAGCACUCAUGAGAAUUUAUAACAUGCUCAAAACUAGGCUAAGUUUGAGUCCAUUUGAGAUGUUAUAUGGGAGGCCAUUUCUAUCUUCUGAUAUGAUAGUAGACCCAGAGACUACAAGACUCUUAUAAUAUCUCAUUAAUCUGGUCCAAGUACAACAGAUUAUCCAAAUGUAUGGGAACAGAGUCAUGACAGCUCCUGGCCCAGGAGGACUACCUUGUGUCCUUCCUGAAGACCAAGUGCCCUUAAAAACUUGGAGAGAAGGGACUCCAUAGAUCAAUUAAAGCCAAAACAAAAGGCUCCCUUUUCAGUGAACCUUGCCAUACACACUGAAGUAAAAGUGGCAGAGAUAGAUCAUAAAACAAAAGGGGGGGGAGGGAUUGAACUGUCAGGGAAUGCAGGGAAGAAGUAAAGGCCAAUUGUAGAAGCCAGGAGGGCAAGCGGACUGGGAACUCUCUUCUAGAGCUAGUGCUGAAUCUCUAAGGGCUUUCCAGAUGCAGUCAUUUCAAGUCCACUGCUGCCCUGGCCAUGUCCAGCACAACAUAGAAUUUGCCAACCCUCCACAUAGACAUUGGUUUAUAUUAAGCAGUUUAUGAAUAUUAAUCUGGGAAUGUUUUUAGAUGGCUUGGGAAAGAGAAGAAAAGAAAGCUCAGUGAGGAAAUUAUUCAGUAUUCCCGGCAUCCUAAAUGGAGACUGAAAAUAGCAUGAUGACAUGGAGAAGAAAUUUUAUCCUAAGCUACGGUUUUAAACUUUUGGUUCGGCACAAAGCAGAGAGUUACCUUAUGAGCACUGUGCUGGUUUUAAAGGUGCUGUCCCUCUUUUCUUUCUGCCAAGCUGCCUGUUUGUAUUCUGACCUGAUAUUCUCAUAGAAAAUGUAUUUUGGGAAUUUUCUGAAUUCCUUUUCAUCCUCCUUACAAAGGGUUGACCCAGCAAUGUUUGUAAUACCUGUAAAAACAUUAGUCAACCUGAAGACAAAGGAUCUAGAUCAGAGGAUGAAAAUAGAUCUAUUUAUCUGGAUGUGGCAAAGUAUUCAAUUUUUGCUGCUUUUUAAAUCCAUUGGGUUACACAUACUGCAAUUUACCUCCAAGGACUAUUGAGUCAAGACUUGUGUUCAGUCUUAGAUACCUGUCACUCUAUUAAUGGAUAACUUAGAGUGAUGUAAAUAGGCCCAAGUUCUCUUUUUUUCUGAAGUUGACAUGACAAUAUGUUGUGAAAAUUGAACGACUGCUCAUAUAUAUAGAUUAUUUCAUUUACAUCGUAAGUACUCAUUUUUUUCAUCUAGAUAGUUAAUAUUCAUGUGUUAACAGUUACUAAAUUUCAAACAAGUUUUUUUUUUUGGUACUAGGGAUUGAACUUUCAAAAAAACUGCUAGGAUGAGAAGUUGUUUUGAUUUUUAUGUAAAUGCAACUACAGUUUAUGAUGACUAUAUAAUAGUACAUAGUCAUAAGCAAUUUGUUUUCUAGUUUCUUUAAGGUAGUUUGGUCACUUCAGUAUCGGUAGCUUCUCAAUAAUUCUUCAUUUUUAUGUUGGUAGAAUAUGUGCUGAUAUGAAUUAAUUCAAAUUAAAAGGAUAUAGAAUAUUAUUUUAUUUUGUUCAUAAAAUACUUCUUGAAAAUUUUGUAUCAUGUAAAAAAUAUAUCAUGUUCCCUGACGUAAAGGAAUUUAUAGGUAAAUUACAGUAUAGUGUCACAAAUUCUAUAGUAAACAUAGUAAUAAAGUUGAAUAUUAAUACAAAUAAGUGUCUUGGGGAACAGAAAUGCUUUUUCAGAGAAGUGAUGUAUGAACUAUUUAACUAUUUUUUAAUGGAAUAUCAGAACAUUUGUUCUAUAAGGUAUUGUGGAAAGAGAGUUGAAGAGGGAGAAUAAUUGUAAAGCACAAUUGCUUGGUUAAUGUACUGCACUGAGAAUAUCUGCUAAGUUUUGAAGCAUAAAUCUGUAGCCAGUGCAAUGGAAAGAACAAAGCUUCAAGUUGAGAAGCAGGAUCUGGACUUUCUACAGAAAGUGUUAGCCACAGAAGUAACUUUGAAUCUUUUUGAAACUAGAUUUUUAAAAAUACAGGUAUAAAAAUAAUUUAAAUUGAAUUUAUAUUUUAUUUAACCUAAUGUAUCCAAAAUAUUACCAUUUCAGCAACUUAUUCAUAGAAGAAUAUUAAGGAGAUAGUUUAUGUUCUUUUUUCUAUAUUGUCUCCAAAUGUAUAUUACGUUUAUGGCAUACUAGUGACAUUUUAGGUGCUGCUAUAUGGUACAGAUGAGGUAGACACUGAACAUACUUUGAGAAACUUGAGCUAUAUGCUAUUAAUAUUUGGUAAUAUGUAAAGUUGAUACACCUGAUGUACUUGAGAAUUAUCUUUUCUCUAUAAGGUAUUGAGGAUGUUCAUAGCUAGCAAAAAUCUUUGCUUAAGAGAUGUCUAUUUUCUGGUGUUGUUUCUGUCCUUAGGAGGUCUCUGUGGUAAGGAGGGGAGACAAAGUCAAGUUUGAUAACUGCAUGGGACAUCAGGGAGCUAGGCUAGAAUCUAUGAAGAAUGCCAUUUUCAAGCCAAGUAUUUCUAAGUGAUCUGAAUCAAAGCAGCCUCAUGGGCUAGUUUAGGUUAUUUGCUAAAGUUCAGCCAUAACUGCUCCACAAUAAUAAGAGGGGUGCUAACAUACACCAAUAAGAGAAACAGAAUCAUAUCAAAGAAAGUUAGGUUUUGUGGGGGGAAACUGAGCUAUUUUCAGGUUAUUGUCAGGUUCCUAGCCUUUUGGAAUAAAACAUCAUAAGUGGGAAAAAUUAAUAACAUAAGUGAGAAAAAAUUUAAAAAAACCCUUCAUAUCUUGCCCUUUAAACCAUGUACAGUAUUAGUUAACUUUUCUGUUCUGAUAAUGACUCAAUUUUUAAUCUAAUUCGUAUAGUCAAAGUAAGGUUUUGGAAGUUAUUUUAGUAAAGGUUCAAUUUGACAGAUAUCCUACAUGCUAUUCUUAAGUUUUGAAAAAGAAACUUCUAAAUUUUGGUUGAAUCUGUUUUGAAAUUAGUUAAGAAAUAUUUAAAUAAAGGAUUCAAAAAAUAGAAUGUCAGAAAAUUUUAGAUUGUGAAGAUUUAGUGAAUUUUGCUUUUUGAAAAUAAAGCAAGCAGAAACAUACUGAAAUAAGUACCCACAAAAGUAAUGAUAAAUGGAACAAAUUAAGUACAGGAAGCAAAUAGUGUGUGAGAUUUAAUGCUUAAAUUUUUAAACUAUACUUUUUGAUAUCUUGAUUUGUGAAAGAAUGUUCAAAUCAAGCUCAUAGAUACUGAUUGGUUUGCCUUUUACUUUAUUAGUGCAUCCUAAUAUUAACAAUAUUAAUUGUUUUCAGAAGUUGGUACUAAUCAGUUUCAAUCCCAUUACCCCUCUCUCUUUUAUUUCCAUUCCUACUGAUCCUGACUUGUCUCCAAAAGUCUGGUUUUCUGUUAUCUCUACUGUAUUUAAUAUAAUUAGCUAAUUUUUAAUUUACUUACCUAUAUUUUAAGUUUAUCAUAAAGAAGAAAACAUGUAGUUUUUAACUUUCUGAGUUUGGCUCAUUUUACUUUACAUGAUGGUUUUCAGUUGCAUUUAUUUUCCUGCAAACAACACUUUUCUGUAUGGCUGGGUAAUAUUCCAUUGUGAAUAUAUACAACAUUUUCCUUAUCCAUUCUUCUGUUGAUGAGCAACUAGUGUGUUUUCACAGUUUAGCUAUUAUGAAUUGUGCUGUUAUAAACACAAGUAUGAGUGUAUGACUAUGCUAUGCAGUCUUUAAUUCUUUUGGGAAAAUGCCCAGGAGUGGUAUAAAUGGGUGAAAAAAUAUUUCCAAAUCUGGUCUUUUUUUAUUCAUUAAGUUUAUUGGUACAUUUUAGGCAUACAUUACAAUCAUAUUCAUCAUUGGGAAUUUGUAGCUAGAACCAAGAUAUAUCAUGUACAAAUGUAGUCUUUUGAGGACCCUCCACACUUAUCUGCACAGUAAUUAUAUUAGUUUCCAUUCCCAUCAACAAUGUAGGAGGGUUCCAUUUUCCCUGCAUUCUUGCCAGGAUUCAUAGUUGGCUUUUUUGUUUAUUUGUUUAGUUUUUAUCUGAUGGCUAGAAUUGUUGAAUAUUUUUUCAUAUGUUGUUGAUAAUUUAAACUUCUUUUUUUGGAGAAGCAUAUAUUCAAUUCAGUUACCCACUUUUUACUGGGUUAAUUGAUAUAUGGGGAUUUUCUUAGUUCUUUAUAUAUUCUAGAUAUCAAUCCUCUAUCCAAAGAAUUGCUAGCAAAGAUUUUCUCACAUUUAAUAGGUUGUCUCUUUACUCUGUUAAUUGUUUCCUUUGAUAUGCAGAAGCUUUUUAUUUGAUAUAGUCUAAUUUUUUUGAUUCUUGAUAUGAUUUCCUGUGCCUCUGGAGUUCUGUUCAGGAAGUCAGUGCCUGUUCCUAUGUCUUCAAGAGUUUCCAUUAUGUUGUCUUCCAGGAGUUUUAAUGUUUCUUGUUUUAAAUCUAGGUCUUUGAUCCAUUUUUAUUUGAUUUUAGUACAAGAUAAGAGAUGGGAAUCUAGCUUUAAUUUUAUGCAUGUGGAUAUCCAGUUUUUCCAACAAAUUUUGUUAAAGAGACUGUAGUUUUUGCAGUAUGUUUUUGCCCACUUGGUGAAAAAAUCAGAUAGCUGUUAGUUCAUGGGUUUGUUUCUGUGUCUUCUGUUUUAAAAAACAUUUCUGCUUUUGUUUUUGAGUUUGGUUUUACAGUACAGCUUGAAGUCCAGUAUAGUGACACUCCGCCUCUUUGGUUGCAGGGUUGCAAUAGGUCUUUUCUGAUUGCAUUUGAAAAUUAGGAUUAUUUGUUCUAAUCUGGAAAUAAUGUUGUUUGUACUUUAAAAUUUAAUAUGGAUUGCAUUUAAUCUGUAUAUCACUUUUGACAAAAUGGCUAUUUUUACAACAUUAAUUCUUCUAAUCAUGAACAAGAAAUGUCCUCAUUUUCUAAUGUCUUCUGCAAUUUCUUUCUUUGACAUUUUGUACUUUGGGGCUGCUCACAUUAUUUUUAGGCAUUUCAGUUUUUUAGAAGCUACUGUGUAUGGAAUUGAUUUCCUUCUCAGUUGGCUCAUUACAGUGUAUAGGACACAGUCAACAUUUUUGUAUGUUUAUUUUGUAUUCUGGCACUUUACUAGAUUCAGUUAUCAGUUUUAAAAUCUUCUGGUAGUUUCUUACUUCUAUACAAAGUAUUAUGUCAUCUGCAAAUAGGUAUAAUUUGCCUCUGUCCCUAAUCAUAUUCAUUUUACUUCUUUCAUUUGCCUGAUUACUCUGGGUAAAGUUUUGGGUACUAUAUUGAAAAGUAGUGGUGAGACUGUAAACCCUUAUCUUGUUCCUAACAUUAAAAGGAAUUACUCUGGUCUUUUAACCAUUUGUUAUGAUAUUAGCUAUGAGUAUGUCAUAUAUUGCUUUUAUUAUUUUGAGAUAAGAUGCUUCAGUGUCCAUUUUUCAUCAAGGUUUUUCUCAUGAAGGGUGUUGAAUUUUGUCAGAGGCUUUUUCAACACCUACUGGGAUGAUCAUGUGGUUUUUAUCCUUGAUUCUAUUUAUGCAGUGUAUUAUAUUUAUUGAUUUAUGUGUGUUGAUUUUUAUACUCUUAAAAUGAAACCAAUUUGGUUUUAAUGUAUGAUUUUCUUAAUGUAUUGUUGAAUUCUGUUAGCGAAGAUCUUAUUGAAGAUUUUCCAUUGAUGUCUAUGAAGAAUAUUGGUCUGAAGUUUUCCUUUGGUUAUUUACUUGGGUUUACUUUGUUUUUCUAAUAUAAGCACUCAUGGUUAUUAAAUUCCCUCUUGGAUACACUUUCAUUGUAUUUCAGAGAUUUCGAUAUAUAUUGUUUCCAUUGUUAUUUGAUUCCAGGAAUUUAAAAAAAUUUCUCCCCUUAUGUUUUCAGUGACCCAUUGAUCACUAAGAAUACAUUAUUUGUCUCCAUAUGUUUUCUAGUUUCUGUGGCUUCUUUUGCUAUUGAUCAAUUUUCAUUCUAUUGUGAUCUGAUAGUAUGCAUAAAAUUAUUUCAGUUGUAUUUGUAUAUGUUAAGACUUGCUUUAUAACCAAAACUAUGGUCCAUUUUGGAUAAAUUCCAAUGGAAUACUGAAAAGAAAGUAUAUUCUGCUGAUGUUGCAUGAAACACUUUACAGAUAGCAGAUAAGUCAAUUUGAUCUAUAGGGUAGUUUAAUUAUGAUGUUUCUUUGUUGUUUAUUUUAUCUAGCUAACCAACAUAUUUAUGAUUGUGAAGAUAUUGAAGUCCCCACUAUGACUGAAUUGAGGUCUACCUGUAUUUUUAUGUCAGAUAGUGUUUCAUGAAAUUAGAUGUGCCAAUGUUUGGGUCAUAUAUAUUUAUUAUUGUUAUCUCUUUCUGGUAGAUUUUUCCUUUUAACAUUAUGAGUGACCUGUUUUGACUCUACUGACUAGUUUUGGUUUGAAGUCUGUCUUUUUAGACAAAAGUAUAGCUGAUUCUGCUUCCUUUCAGGUUCCAGUUGCUUGGAGUUUCAUUUUACAUUUGUCCAUGUAUGUCAUUGCAGAUGGGGUGUGUUUCUUGCAGACAAUAUAUAGAUGUGUCUUGUUUUUCUACCAAAUCUGGCAAUCUGUGUCAUUUAAUUAGAGAAUUAAGACCGUUUACAUGAACUAUUAUUAUUAAAAUGAGUGUACUAAUUACUGUCAUUUUGUCAUUUUUAGGGUGUUUGAUUCACUUCUGUUGUGCGUUGAUUUUCUCUACCAGUGAAAUUCACUUUUUCCCUUUGUAUUGCACUUGUCUUCUUGUUCUAUGUUUAUAAGUCCCUUAAGGAUUUUCUACAAUGGUGCUUGAUGGUUAUGAAUUUCUCUAGUUUAUACUUCUCAUGGAAAAUCAUUAUUUUUCCUUCACUUUUGAAGAAUAGCUUUAUAGGAUAUAGUAAUAAAGAGUGGUGAUUAUUUUCUUUCAAUACUUACAAAACUUCAUUCUAAGCCUUCCUGGCUUUUAAAAUUUCUAUUAAGACAUUUGCUAUUAUUCUAAUAGGAUUGGUUCCAUAAGUAUGAUGUAGUACUUCCAAUAUCUUUUAAUAGUUUUUUUUUUUUUUUUUUGCCCAGAAUUUCUGGCAUUUGACUAUGUGGAGAGGUACUUUCCUGGUCUUGUCUAUUUGGGAUUCUAAAUACCUCUUUUAUGUAGAUAUCCAUUUUAUUUCCCAGUGCUUGGAAACUUUCUGCAGUAAUUUCAGUGAAUAGAAUUUUAAACCAUUAGCCUGUAUUUCAGUGUCUUCUUCUUGGUCAACAAGUCUUAAGUUAUUUCUAUUAGAUUUACCCAGAAAGUCUUUUCAAGGGUUCUUAUUCUUUUUUCUUUUGUCUUGUUUGAUUGUUCUAGCAUUUCCACCACGUCUUCAACUCCUUACACUUUUUUCUUCUUAGUCAUCUUUUCUAUUGCCUAGACUUUAAGUUUUUUAUUUGACAUUGAGAUUUUCAUUUCAAGGAUUUCUGUUUGGUUCUUUUUCAGAACUUCUGUUUAUUGAAGUGGUCUUUCAUAUCCUGCAUUGUCUUCCUUAAUUCAAGGAAGCUGCUUAUUUGUAUUUUCUUUCAGCUCACUGAUCAUUCUGCUAAUUAAUUUAUUCAGCUGCCUAAUUGUCUCUUUUUUCUCAUUAAUCAUUUUAACUAUCAAAUUUUAAAGUCCUUGUCUAUUUUUUUGUAGUGGCUUUCUUUUGUUCUGUGCCCUGGGUUGUGGGUUUGUCUCCAUGUAAGAGUUUCUAUUCAGUCUUCAGGUUCAGCCCCUAGAACUUCUUUGAGAAAGGUAAGUUACUACCACUACCCCUGAUACUUAUGGAGUUAACCAUAGAUUGUCUGAUACUUAAAAAAUUGAUUAAAAUAGUUCUCUACUAUUUCACUAAAUUAGAAAAAGACAGAAUGAUAUAGUGGGCUAGAAAAAAACUUAUCCUUUAUGAUAAUAAGGGUUUCAAAUAGUAUAUAGAAAAAGAAGAAGAGAUAGAAAGAAAAAAAUAAAAAUAGAAUAAAUCAAAUAACAAUACUAUAAUAAAAAGAAGAAAAGAAGGGGGAGAAAGGAGAGACAGAAGCAGAAAUGUGAAGGGAGGUAAAGGAGAAAGGAUUAUAAAUAAGAAUUAAGAAAGGAGAAAAGAAGAUUGUGUCCAGUUGUUGAUCAGUCAAACAAAUUCAGACAUUCCUAAGGAGCAACAAUUUUUGUGGCACAACAUGACAAUCCAAGGAUAUUAUGGAGUGAAAGCAUAAAUCUAACACAGCUAUACCCAAUAUAUAUGUAUCAAAAGUCCGACUCCUGUCAUACGAAACUGAUAAAAGUGCAAAAAGGCAAAACAUAAGAAAAAGGAGGAAGACAUGGAAAGAUAAAGAGAAAAAAAGGGCAACUGUCCUGUUUCAUUGAUUGGAAUAAAUAUCCCAGCACAGUUUUUGCUGCCUCUGUCUUUGGAGGACUGUGUGGGAGCCUCUAGAGUUCUCAGGGUUGAUGGCAAGGUGUCUAUGCUGGUCCCAGGAGGGGUCUCAACCUGGCUUCCCAGCCAGGGCUUUGCAGGAAGCUCCAUGCCAUCCUCCUCUUUCCAUUUCAGCGCCACCCAAGGAGGGAGAGGAGGUGCUUCUCCACACUGCUAGUGCCUGCGGCGGUUCCCAGCUGCCACAGACCUCAGUUUCUGGCCCCACUGUGCCCAGUACCAGGGAUUCCGAAGGAGGAGCCAAGAAUUUUCUAUCCAUCUCUCCCUGCUCCCAUCACUCACCUUCUCUAGCCCCAAACCAGUCACUCUAUCUCCCUCUGGCUUGUAGUUCCCUCAGAGCAGUCUUCACUUCUGCCCCAGCCCCAGCCUUCCAAUUUUCAGUCUAUUUUGCCACUCCUGCAGAUCCAUGAACAGGAAGGCUCUCCCCUAUUAUUAUCUCCAACUUCUGCAUGGAGAACCACUGGGCCCUGCUGAUCCUGAGGGUGGUGGCGGCGGGAGUGAGUGCCAGUGGUGGCCACUCUCCUGCCUUCUUCCCUUGAAAGUUUGUGUGUGUCACAGAAUGACAGUGUCUCCAGACCUGUGUUGGGAGCAGCCCCAGGACUGGGGCGGCAGCUUAGCUACUACUUCCACUAGCUUCCUUCUUUUCUGUAUUACACCUGUUUACUCUUCCAUUUAGGUUGGAUCCCAGUGGCUGGUGUCCCCACCCUUCUGCAAGUCGCCACACCCUGACUCACCUUGGUGCCUUCUCUGCAAUCUUCCUCUACUCCAGGACACCUGACCUCUGCCCUGAGAGCAUUCUUUAAAUCUGGGCUCAAGUAUCACAUCCUCUUCUCAUCUUUCAUUCCUAGGCUCUGGACCCCUGACUCCACUUUGUUUCUUUUGGAUCACACCAGCACGAGGAGGUGCGCCUCCCCCUCACAGAAGAGGCCCACCAAUGGGCUCUGAGCUCUGGUGGAGGGAAUGCUCUCUGGUGUCCAGGCUGGGGUUGGCGUGGAGUGCAUCCCCGGCCUUCUUUUGAUUAGCAUAGGUCUUGUUCUCUGGGACUUUCAUUUGAAAAAGUACCCAAACCAACUGGAGAUAAAUAAAAAUAAUUUAAUGAGUUUUCACUUAUAAAUAUGUUUGUGAAAAGCUACCCAGAGUGGAGGUAAAAAAAAUAGCACUUGUGAAAAUGUUUAGGCUAAAAUAUUUACACUUUUUAAUUAAAAAUGUAAUUUAGAAAUUUUUAAAGUACAACUUGCUUUGAACUUACGGUUAUAUCAGCACCUGCAGUGGGAGGAUUUACAGUAAAAAUUAUGAUGCCCAAUAAAAGAGUCAGCUGAAGCUGCCAACAGUUUUACAUUCUUUAACUAUAAAAUGAAAUAGGGGGGAAGGUUGUACUCAUUUUAUACACUAGAAAUAAAAAGAAUUAUUGAAAGAAUUUUAUCUAUAAAAUGAUUGGUGAAUGUAUCAUUUUAUGUUUAUCAACAUAAUGUAACUAGCUUUCUGUCAAUAAUGUAUCAGUAAUUGGACACUUUUCAUUUUUAACACAUUUUCACUUUCAGAUUUGUAUAAAAAUGGUACAAAAUAUAAAAUCAAAAGUGGUGUAUACCUGUAAUCCCAGGACUCUGGGAAGCUAAGUAAGGAGAAUCACAAGUUUGAGAGCAGUCUGAACAAUUCAGGGACUUAGGGACUUAUCUCAAAAUGCAAACAUUAAAAAAUAUGGUUGGGGAUGUAGCUCAGGGUGAAGGCCUUGGGACCCAUUCUCAGUACUGAAAAAGCAAAAAACAAACCAGCCUCUGAAAUAUGGUUUCCUGGGCCUAACAUCCUGCUUCCUCCUCUGACCAAAUCUUAGGACUUAAAUAGUUUUUAAAAUUGCCCGUGCCUCAGUUUCCCCCUCUGUAAAAUGAAGUUAGUAACAACAUGUGUCUCUCAGGGUUACAAAUUAAGCAACUAAGUCAGUGCUGGUUGUUAUCUUUAUCAUUAUUACUUUUAUUUGUUUGUUUGUUUUGGUAUGGGGAUUUAACUCAGGACCUUGCACUUGCAAGGCACACUGCCACUGAGCUAAAUCCCCAGCCCUCAUUAUUACUUUUAAAAAUUUUUUCAUUUAGGUGACACAAUAAUGUAACUAACCUAAAAUCACUGAAAAUUCUUGAUGAAGCCAAUGUGUACUAAAAAACAGAAAAAAAAGCUUCUUUUUGUUUACAAUUUUUUUCUCUUUAUUACUAAAUGAAAUGGCAGUUGCCUUUUAUAACUGCAAUUGAAAUUUGCUGGCUUUAUAUUUUAGUUCACAAAUCUAAGGUUUUCAACACCUAAAUGGCUAAUAUUUUAAAAUUGAGGACUCUUGUCUUUAAUUAAUGUUCAAAGUAUGAACAGAAUUAUUGUUAUAUUGUUUUAUUUUCUAUUCCUUUGUAAACAGAGAUGACAUUUGUGACUUAGAUUACAUUCCUUAGAUAAAAACUUUAUAGAGGAGAUACAGAUAGUAGGGGAAUAUAAUAGAAAUUAUCUAUAAAUCUAUAGUAAAAUAUAGUAUUUUUAAUCCUAGGAUUUCCAGAUCACCUGUAUCUGUUUAUAAUAAAUCUAAUUUUUAACUGAAAUUUAUGAUAUCUUCCACAAUACAAAUUGAAACACUUCUCACUUGAACAUCUGGUAGAGUGUUCAUCUCAAAGUUAAUUCAAGAUUCACACAUUUCAUCAAUAUGAUAUUUGUAAGCACAAAAAUAUAGCCCCUAAAUAUAGAAUAUAAAUUUAUCUUCAAAGAGAUAAAUGUUUUCAAUUCUUUGCAGUUGGUAUGAUUAUCUACCUAAGGAAAAGAAUCGGUUUUAAACAAAGUUUUAAAAAGAUUUAAAUGUCACUUUAUUUUUUAUGUAUCAUAACUUUUCAUCAGUGAUAUAAUUUUAGAAAUGUAUUUAAAAAUAUGUUACCUUUCUAGAAAGAAUGAAAAUAAUUAUAACUAGCAUUAGAAGAGCUUCAAAAAAUGUGCUUGACAUACACAAUACAAUUUUUUAAACAUUUUCAGAAUUACAAAAGAAUACACCAAAAAGAAAUACACCUUAUUGUUAAAAAAAGUGAAUACUUGAGACAUGAGUAAAGUUUUAUAAGUGAUUACAAUAAAUUAUAAGUUGUUAUAGUCUAAGAAAUUUGACAGAUAUCUGGAUGGCUGUUUUAUUUUGUUUGGUGAGACUUCACAGACUAUUCCAUAAUUCACCUAAAGGUUAGAGAGUAACUAAAUAUAUUUUAGAAAAAAAAAUAGAUUUUUGAGUUAAAAUUGACCCCAUUUUACAAUGAAAUACAAUGAAUGUUCAGGUAAUGUUUUAUGUAAUUGACAAUGGUGGAGAAAUUCUAGUAACUUAAAAAAAAGAACCAACUGCUAACAUUGUCACCCUAAAAAAUACUACAUUCUAUUCCUACUUUUCCAUUUUCUCAUAUUAAUCCCAUUCCCUUCAGUCCUUUCUCCUAUCCCUCCCACUUUGUAAAUAGGGAGGAAUGGAGGGGUUGAAGGGAGGGCUGGGCAAGGGUGAAAAAGAAGAACCAAGAGAGAUUAUUUAAAGGUGCAAAUUUCCAAUGAUGAAUGUCAUUAUAUUGUAUACCUAAAAUGUACCAAUGAUUAGAAUGAAUAAUCGAUAAUGCAAAAUAGGAAGAAAAGGUCCAAAGGGGUAGGGGUAGUGGGAGGGGCAGGAGAAAGGAAAGAAGGGAAAGGAAAAAUGAUGAGAUGGAAAAAAUGGAAAUAAAGUCUUUGUAAAUAGGGAAGGGUGGAGGGGGUGAAGGGAGGGCUAGGAAUGGGGAAAAAAAAGAAGAACCAAGAUGCGUUAUGUAAAGGUACAAUUCCCAAUGAGAAAUGUAAUUGUGUUGUAUACCUAAAAUGUACCAAUAAAAGAAUUUAACAAAAAAAAUUACAUUCUCUCACAUGAUAGAUAUGCCAAUCAACCUGAUCUGAUUGUCACACACUGUAUACGUGCAUUGAAAUAUCACACUAUACACGAUGAAUAGGUAGAAUUACUAUGCCUCAAUUAAAAAUAUGUUUUAAUUGAAAUGUGUUUUAAAAAUAUAAGCAUGAUUAUUUAGAGAAUGAGUUUGGAAUAAUUUAUCAACUACUUUAGAGGAAAAACUAGAUAAUGACUGUUAUUUACUCUAAGUGGCAAAAUAAAUUUCAGAUUUAUCAGUGUAUUUACUUUUAAGGAAACAUAACAAUUUAAAAUAUCAAAUAAACUACUUUAGGUACAGGAAAAUUAGAAAACCCACAGAAUGAAUAAUCAAGGGAAAAUGCACAUAUUGCAUCAUAUAAAAUUAUAACCCAUAAAAUAUAUGUAAAUAUAAUCUGCAUAAAAUAUAUAAAUAAAUGUUAUACAUAAAAAUAUCAUAAACAUGUUUAAAAUGAAUAUAUGCAUGAACUUUAAACUAAAAUAUUAAUAAAAUAAUAAAGAAAAUAUUUAAAAUAAAGAACACAGCAAUGAAUGUAAGCAAAAAUACAAUCUAUAAUACCCAUAAAACAUGUAAACCUAAAAGAAAACAAAGUGACUGUGUGUAGCACUUUUGACAUAGAUUCAACACCUUUGAAAAAAAUUCCAAAAAAUGGAGAUGAAAAGCACCAAAAUCUUGUAUAAAAGUUGGUGAAGGAUACAAAUAGACAAUUCAUGUGGGAAAAGUAAACAUAUACUAUGUUCAAAUAAUUAGUUAUCAAAAAUUAAAAUUCCAAUAAUAUAAACCCUCUUUUGUACCAAAUUAAUAAAUAUAAGCCUGGUGUUGUUGAGAACAUGGUAAAAUGCAUAAUGUUAUCUAUUACAUGUGGACUUUUUAAUUGGUUUAAGUUUCUGGAGAGAAAUUUGUUGUUUUUGUUUCAUUUUAAAAAUAUUUAUAUUCUUUGACGAAGCUCUUUGCCUUCCAUUAAUUUUUCUGAAGAAAUGAUCAAUUAGAUAUGCUGAUAUAUACUCAUAUCCAGAAAUUUUAUCAAAAUUUUAUUUCAAAUGUCUAAAUAUUAGAAAUAAUUCCAUGCCCCAUAAUAAAGAAAUGAUUAAAUGUAUAUCAAAAUAUGUAACAUUUAAAACUGUAUUUUAAAAAAGUUAUUUAUGUUUUUUAACCAAUACCUAAACAUUAUACAUAUUAAAGAUAUGUAUAAAAUGUUCUAACCAGGUUAAACAUAUCUAAUUCCUGUACAUGUGUUGUUUUUUUAUGAUAGAAACACAAAAUCUUUAUUUUAGCUUCUUGAGAUAUAGAUAUAAUAGUAUAUAAUAGCUAUACAAUAUAUAAUGACUAUUUAUAUAUCUAUAUAUAUAUCACAUAUAUUUUCUUUAUCUAUUUAUUAGUUGCUGGACACUUAUUUAGGUUCUACUUCUUGGCUACUGUGAAUGCCGUGGAAAAAUUAUGGGAGUACAGAUACCCUUUGACUGCUUGAUUUCCUUUGGAUAAACACUUAGAAGUGGAAUUGCUGGAUUUCAUAUUUUCUUUAUUUUUUUUUUGAGAAACCUCUAUACUACAUAUCAUAAUGGCUGUAUUAAUAAACAUUCUGACCAAAAAUGUGCAAGUAUUUCCUUUCCUCCAUAUCCUUGCCAGCACUUGUUUAUUGUGGUAUUUAGGAUAAUAACCAUUUUUACUGAUGUGAGAUGAUAUCUUGUUUUUUUGAAUUAUAUUUCCUUGAGGAUUAGAGAUUUGGGGGCAAUUUUUAUAUGCCUGUUUUUCAUUAUUACAUCUUUUUAAAAGAAAUUUUAUUUAGUUCUUUUGUCAGUUUUUAUAUUAGGUUAAUUUAUUUUAUUUUAUUUUUUCCAUUAAGUUUAUUGGUAUAUUUUAGGUAUGCAAUACAGUUACAUUCAUCAUUGGGAUCUUGUACCUUUACAUGAAUAUCUUGGUUUUUAUUUUUUCCCCAUUCCCCUGCCCUCGCUUCAGCCCCUCCACCCUUCCCUAUUUACAAAGAUUUUGUUUCCAUUUUUUCCUUUUCUCAUAUUUUUUCUUUUCCCUUCUUUCCUUUCCCCUACCCUUCCCACUUUCCCUGCUCCUUUAGACCUUUUUUUCCUAUUUCACAUUAUUGUUAUUGUGCUCUCUUGAAGUUCAUUAUACAUUCUGGAUAUUAACUUUGUCAUUUUCUCCCAAUUUUAUGAUUAAUUUUUUCCUGUGCAGAGCAUUUUGGUUUGAUAUAAUCCCAUUUGUCUGUUGUUGGUUUUGUUUCCUGUGCUUUAUGGGACCUUGUUCUAAAAAUAAUUAUCUCAAGGUUUAGCAUUGGUCCCUAUAAUUUAUACAGUGAGAAGGUGACUAUCUUCAAGUUGGACAAGGGGCCUCAACUAGAAGUGAAUCUUGUGGCACCUUAAUUUUGAACUUCCCAGCCUCUAUAACUGUCUGAAAUAAAUAUCUGCUGGUUAAGCUCCCAACCAAAGGUAUUUUGUUGUAUUAUCUGCAGUUAAGACAUGUUAUGCUUCUUUGUUAAUUCCUUUAUGUUAUGAUUUACAUCUAAAAUGUUCCCCCAAAUUCUCAUGGUGUGGAAAGUGAUUUGAUUAUGGUGGUAUUACACUCAUCUGUGGAUUAAUCCAUUGUUGAAUUCAUAGCUAAAUGAUUUUUAGAAGGUGGGGCCUGCUCAGGAGAGGUGGUUCAUUGGAAAUGUGACCUGGAUGUGUGUUAUCUUUCUCUCCAACUCCUCACUUCUCAGCUUCUUGGCCACCAUGAUAUGAGAAGCUUUCCUCUACCAGUCCUUUCUACCCUGCUCUUCCUUUAACUCCUGGGUGUUGAGUAUUUGUCCCAGCAAUGAUAAAGUUAAUAAGAUAGAUUUUGCUAUUGAUUGUAUACAGUUAUUCUAAUUUAUUUUAUUAAUUCUGCUAUAUUUGUUUUCCUUAUGUUUUCCACUGAUUUUACUAAUUGCUUUUGGGAAUUUUUGAGUUCUAAAAUCUUCUACUAUAUGGUAUAUUUUUAAAAAUUUUGUACAGUUCAACUAAAUUUAGAAAAGAAAAUAAACUUAUUCUAAAGCUUUUAUUUAUAAAUAUACAUUAACAAAUACAUAGAAAUCUCUAUUUCUUCAUAUUUUCCAUGUGAUUCCUACUAAGUGAAUGAUAUUUAUAGCCAGAUAUUUACAUUCUAUGCAGAUAUAAAUAUGUAUGAAAUAUAUUAAAAUUUUAAAGUUUUGUCAGUAUUGGUACUUGCUUGAAGUCUCAUACAUUGAUAUGGCUACAUUAUUGAGCAAAUAGAUUUAUUUGAAGCAUAUUUUGUAGCUUAAUAGGAAGGUUGAAGAACAGGGCUGAGAAAAUAGGCAGAAAUCAGGGGAUGGUCUAUUGGUUGGAAACAGUAACUGUCAUACCACACAACUUCAUGUACUUAACAUAGUGGUAUUAAUCACAUAUAUAGAAACUGGAGGUUAUUAUUGUCCUGGCCGCCAAUGGAUACUGGAUUCCACCAUCAACUAAUAGAGUGAGGUAUAAUCUACAUUUGUUUUUUAUUCAGUAUCACAGGCAUAAAUAUAUAUCAUUGGUUGAAUUGGGAUACAUGCCUGUACCCAGUUGCCAGGGCAUGCAGAGAAAAAAGUUUUGGCUUUGGGAUCUUUGAAAAUUCAUAUAAUGUGACUUUGAAGAUAUUUCAGACAAUUUUGGGACCACUGGAACAGAAAGAUACAUUCAGAGAUCUGUAUGUAAUAGAAUCUUCAAGCUGUGAGUAUCAUGUUGAGCCUAUGAAGGAAGAUGAUGACAGAGAAACAAAUCUAUGAGAUGGAAACAGAGGCCAGGGGUGGAAAGACAGUUCCCUAAUCAUUCACUAUCAUUAAUUGCAGUCUUUUCUGAAAUGAGUAAGAGUCAUAAAAUAUAAUUCUACUUACUUAGUAAAGGAUGUGGAAAAAAAAAACCUUGAAUUUCCAACCAGCUGUUUUUAUUUAAAUGGAAUUUUACAAGCACGUGCUAAAGUUGAUUUAAAAACCAGUUUGGACAAAAAUAGCCCAGAAAAUUUGAAAACCCAUAUGAUGAUUAAUAAAUGUCAAAGCAUACAAUCAUGUUCCAGGAAUCAAGACAGUGUGGAUUUGGUGUUGAAACAUAUUAAUUAAUGGAAAAGAAGGAAAUCCAGGAUAAUUCAAGUGCCCAUGAAAUUAUCUUAUAAAAUAAUAUUGACAUUUUAUAUUACUGGAGAAAAAUGAGUUAUUCAAAAAAUAAAAUUGACAAAAAAAAUCAACAGGGAAAACUAAGGUAGUUCCUUGUUUCAGAAAGACUAAUUCUGAAUGGAUAUGAAAAUAACAUGUCAGAUGAAUUAAAAUCUAAGUGUUUUAUACAAAUCAUAUAGAACAUCGCUUUGUAAUUGCUAUGAAUUGUCCUGUGUCUAUCCAAAGUUCUUAUGUUGAAAACUCAUCCCCUAAUGUGACCAUAUUUGGAUACUGAGAUUUUGGAGAUAAUUAAGAGUAGUUCAGUUCUUAAAGCUGGGUCCUAAACAUAAGAAUGGUGGCUUUAAGGAAAGAGAGAGAGAGAGAGCAAGAGAGAGAGAGAGACAGACAGACAGAUACAGACAUUAGUCUUCAUGUAUAUGGAUCAAAGCAAGGCCAUAAGACCACAUAGUGAGAAGAUGGUCAUUGGCAACCUAGGAGAGAGUCCUCACCAGAAACCAACUCCUCUAGUAUCCUGAUCUCGGAUAUUCCACCUCCCAAAUUUAGAAAUAAAUUUCUGUUGUUUAAGCCACCUAGACUAAGGUAUCUUGUGAUGGCAUCUCAAGCUGACUAAUACAAUAAUGUUAAAAUAAAGAAUAUUUUUCAACCAUAUUAUGAAAACUAAAAAUUAAAAGUUAAAAAGUUUUUCAGAGUGGAUCACAUGAAAACACAAAACCUCUGUGUCACGGAAAUGCCAGUAAAAACAGAAGAGAAUACCACUUACUAUAUACAUAAAACAUAAAAAUGAGAAGCUUCUAAAAUCAAUAAGAAAAUAAACAAUUCAACAGAAAAAAUGGACAAAUAAAAUAAGUAGGAACUUUAUUAAAGUUCAAAUGACUAAUAAAAGAAAAGCUGCUUAACCUUAUUAAUGAUCAAAUAAAUGGAUAAAGUAAUAAGAAGAACACGGUUUCUCCUCAUGAAAUUAUUGAAAAUGAGUAAUAUGUAGUGUCAGAAUGCAAUAAAAUAGCAUUCUCUUGUAUCAAGAAUUAAUGGUUUCAAAGCUAAUACAGUUCUUUGGAAGACAAUUUUCAGUAUCAUGAUUUAAGAUGCUUAUCUCACUUUUUGAGCAAUGCCUAUGUUCAGAUUAUAUAAUAGAUGUGCCUUUACUGUGAGCAAACAUAUAUUUAUUUGGAAUAACAAAAACUUGAAAAUAACCUAAAUGAUAAACUUCACAAAAUUAUAAUACAACCCUAUAUGGGCUACUCUACAGGGGCAAAAAUGAUAUUUAUUUAUUUGUACUUAGGAGAAGAGGUUCCAGUAAAAACUAUUGAGGAUAAAAGUAAUUCACAAAUUUAUGUAUAUGUUGCCAUUUAUGCAUAGCUUAAAACCUAUCCUGUAUGCAUAGGCGUGUAUGUGCAUAGAAACUUAUAAAAAGAAAAAAAGGAAUAGAAAUAAAAAUGCAAACUUUUAACAAGUUUUACUUCUAAAAAUUUUACUCCAAAAGAGUUAUUUUGUUUAUAUUUCUCAGCCUUAUUAUAUAAGUACUAACAAUUUAAAACAAAUGCAAUUAGCACUUAUUCUGGAAAAUAAGAACAACUGUUGUGAUUAUAAGACAGUUAUUUUUGGUAAUAAUAAGAAUGCUAUAAACUUAUUCAUGAUUUGUUACAAAAUAAAGACAACUGGUUUCACAAAUUCUGUAGUGUUUCUUGUUUUAUCAAUCAAUUGAUAUUAAAACUCCAUUGGAUUAGUGAAAAUGAGUGAUGCCCGAACAUUUUCUUCAGUGGUAAAUCAAUUCAGGGUGAAUAGACAGAGGAACAUUCCUAUUCAACACUUCUUCAAUUUGCCCCUCUCUUGCCAGAGAUUAUUUCCUUACUUCAGACCCUCAUUGCUUGCCAUGGUUAUUUGAAGGAAUUACUGGAUAACCUUCCUUCUUUCAGGCUCUCUUUCUUCUACAUUUGUUCAGUAUUAUUGUCUUUUUGUCUUUGUUUAAAUUUUACUAUUUAAAAAAAAACUGUAUCCUUCAGUAAUCCCCAUACAUUCAGAAAAUAUUUAUGUUCCUUAACAUGACAUUUAUGUCCCCUUGAGAUCUGGUCCUUGUCAAUUUUUGUAUUUUUACCCUCUCUAGUCUGUCAAGAAAGAGCUGUAGUUGCAGCUGAAGAUAUAGAUGAAUUAGCCCAACUGUAGCUUCUGAGAAGUUCACAGUCACAUCCACUCUGGAUCCCAGCCAGGAGAGAGAUGGGGGAUGGAGGAUAAGUAGCCUCAUAUCGCUCUCCUCUCUUCUCUCAGUCACCACUGUGUCUUCCACUGGUGAUGUCCAACUGGAAGCUAGAGGGAAAGGAGACUGAUGAGACAAUCCAUAAGGAUCUGGGGCACAGAGCAGGGUAGAAAACAGGGUGUAUAUAGAUAUGCAGUAAUUCAAGGAAAAUUGCCUGGCAAAUCACCAUAUAUUCAAAUGGUGUCUGUCAUCCAUGCCUUCAGUACUUUUAAGAAUGCUCUUUACAUCUUUACAUUCCUACAUCUGGUUCAUCUUCUUUCAAAAUUGAAUUCAAAAAGUCUGGACAUACUAAAGUCAGGCCCAGAACUGCAAUAAGAAUUAAAGUUCUAGGCUGGUUCAUUUUUAUUUUUGCCUCCUACUUAGAACAGAAGAUAUCUAUUAUAGCUCCUAAAAUACAUCCAUGUGCAAAAUAAUGAACCUGUAAUACAUGCUUUGGGACUAUGAAACACAAGAGACCUGUGGAAUAUUUUAGUGACCUAUCAUGGAAAAUUAAAUAAACGUUUGUUUAUGGGAAAAUCUGAAUAUAUAGGUAAUUUUGGAAUUAUUAAAGCCAAGAAAGGGAUUGAUGAAGAUUAUAUUAGAAGUCCUCAAGUGUCUCUGAUAUAAUUUUUAAAUAUUCUAUGGUAGAAAUGUAACUUUUCCUCACACAUAUUCUCUAGAAAUCUUGUUG
ensembl:lncRNA